CUCUAAACAGCCUAAACGAGCGGCCACAUUUCAGCUGUAGGUAUUUUAAAACCCGGGGGGAGAAAAAAAAUAAUAAGUCCAACUGAGAUUUGAUCAUUUCUGCAGCAAUAUCACAUUCAUCCGUAACCAGCUGUGCUGCUAUGAAAGGGACAAGCACUGAGGCGGGUUCCCAGGUGGACACCGUAUCCUGCAGUCCAGGGGACACACUGCUGCUCUGCAUGGUGAGAAGAGGAGGUCGGGGAAGUGCACGGAGAAAGGAAUAUCGAGCAGGUAUACCCACUUCCACGCAAACAAAUGCUAUGGUUAGAGAGGAAGAGUCCUGAAGUGCAUUGUAAGCUUACCUAGCUUUCUUUCUGUCACCAAUGGAAACCACCGCAGUGCCACCGAGCUUGGCAGUCCUUCAACUGUUUUCCAAAAGUGUGGUUGGAAGAGAAACUGUCAAGAAGCACCAGCACAUCCCUGCUCCCUAGAAACACGUGCAGUUGUACCCAGCCGUUCCUGACAGCCCCAUGCGUCUCACUCUGGUGGAUGCCACGGCCCCAGGAGGCAACUGCAAUAUGCAGCUGUCCUUACCAUUAGGAAGUUUUUCCUGACAGCUGUAUCGGGCUUCCCUUGCUGCAACUUAAUCUCGUUAUUUCUUGCCUUAUUUACCUCCACGUGCUGUGGAGAAUGGAUUAUUCCCCUUCUCUUUGGCAUGGCAAAGCCAAAUUGCGUGCAGCCCCCCGCCGCUCACAGCCCGGUGAGGGGCACCACCCGCCCUUCUCCUUGCCGCCUGCUGGUCACCAGUGUCCUGUCUGCCCCAGGCAGCCCACGGCAGCACUCCCCACACCUGUCCUUUUCUGCUGCGUAUCAUUUAUUCAGUACUGUCUUGCCAUCUUUAACCCCUUGCUGGAAUUGUCUCUGGCUUUGGGUCCUUCUCAAGCUCUCGUCCCUUUCCCUCUGAUGCAUCUCAUAGGAUCAGCCCAAGUACCUUCCCCUUUCCUUCGCGCCCACGUUGCUGUUUGGUUUUGCUCCAGGCUCCUGGAAGUGCGGACUCCACAAAGGCAGCUCCCGAACUGCGGGCCCGCACCAUCCACACGUGAGCCUGUGGCCAGCUCCACAUUAAUCGAGAAGAAAGAGAACUGAGAGCACGAAAGGAAAAAGAGCUCUGUGUACAGUCUGUGCAAAGAGCCAAACAGAUAUUUAAUCCUGCGUGGGGUUUUUUUUUCUUGAUCGUUGCUCUGGACAUUUUUGUUUUAUCAGAUGGGGAAUGACACUUAAGACCUAGCUUAUUUGUGCCUCUUGUCAAU
ensembl:lncRNA